GUGUCAUAAGGUUACCUCAGCGGUCGUUUCGGAUGGUCUUUGGAGUGAAGAAAAAUUGCUCCAGUUUGCAGAUAUGUAAAAGUCAUCUUGGAAUGGCUGUUCCUGACACUGCAGGAAAAAAUGAAGAUGUUAGUGAGUGAAGAAUCUUAUUCCAAAGAAAUCCUUUAUUUGUGAAAGUACUAAAAAUAUGCUUGUAUCUCGAAGUAUUUUGAUUUGAACUGAAAUUGGCAAAGCGUAUACUUCUUGGUCACUUGCUAAUUUGAAGACUUAUUCAUGAUGUUAUUCCUCAUGUAUUUCCUAAUUGUAAGAAUUUGUGAAGCUUGUUCCAAAUUGUCUUUAAGUUUUCCUGGCAUGCCAGUAUGGAUUAGUGGAAUACGUGUUCUUUUUAUUUUUUUUUCAAGUGUCCCUCAUCUAAUUCUUUUUUUUUUUCUUUUUUCUUUUUUUUUAAACUCAGACGCUUGCUUUUUGCAGGGAAGUUACAAAACGUUUGUGAAUGCUUUGUCUUCUAUAGAUACGUAUUUACAGUUACAGAUAGGUGCUUAAUGUGUUAUUUGUGGAUGUAAACUCAGAAUUGUUGCCCUGUCAAAUGCCACUGUAGGACUAAACCUCCCAAGUGCUCCUUUCAGUCUUGAGGACCAGAGGACGUGCACUUGAUGACUGCAGUCAAGUAAAUUGAUACAGAAAUCAAGAAAACGUGAAUAUGAAGCUCCUUAGUGCCAUUUUUAGCAUCAACAUUCAGGCCAUUAUUAUGUCUUACAGCUGAGAAUUUAUUUACCAAAGAGGAGUUUUUGUGUUUGAAAAGACCAGGUGGAGGAGAGGUCAAGCCCUCCAUCAAUUCAUUAUAGUAAAAGAGGACCAGACGUGUGUUCCUAGCCAUCAUCACUGCAUCCUGCUGCCUUUAAAAACCAGCAACUCAUUGGUUUUUUGGUCUGCUUCAGGUUUUCUGAUUUCUGCUUUCUCUUUUCCUGUUUAGAAACGACUGGUUUCCUAUUUGUUACUCUCUUUCAUGUUCAUUGCAAGUUUGUGCGACUGUUCCUCAGCAACGGUUUUGAUUUAUAUCUCUAAUAAAAAUGUAGAGCUUCGUAUAAGUUGUCAGUGCAUCAGACAGCUACCUUCCCAAGGCGAACCAUCCUGUUAAUAACAGUGCACAACACCUUGUUGAUCUGGUCCUUUUGUCUUUGCAUGUGCUGAUUUCUCUUUGUAAUGAAGUCUCUUGCUGUUUAGUGUACAAAUCUUUGAUUUGUAGGCAUUCUUUGUUGUUGUUGUUUUUAUUAGUUUUGAUUCACCCUCUUCUCAAUCUUUGGUUACUGUUUUUUUCGUGUACUGUUUUCCUGUACCAAAUUGCUGUCAUCAUUUUUUUUAUUUUUUAUUUUUUUUGUCACACAUUACUCAUCGGUUGCAAAAGAAAAGUGUGUGUUCUUAUUUCUUCAUUGCUUAGUUGAACGGUGCUCUGUGACAUCGGAGCAUGAGCAAACAGAGGGGUACCUGUCUGUCGAUAAGGAGCUUACAGAUGCCAUGAGAGGAGACUGUGGCCAAGGGUAUACCUGCGGAAUGCAUCAGUCCUCUGAAAAGCAGUAACUACUCGCAUGCAUUCGUGGAUUCUUAUGUGUUUUCCUUGGGGUGAGCCACCAGAAACUUCCAGCAGAGUUUUAGGUUCUGAGCUCUGCUGUCCUGUGCUGCCUACAGCACCAGUCGCCUGGGCUCUGACCUCUCUCGUGCCAAAGAACUGCUGCAGCACGCAGAUUGCACGGGGCUGCUUCCCUGUCCUGCAGCUUGCUGUGUUUGCUCAGAGCACCUUUUGCAUCAGCGGAAGAAUCAUGUAAACAGCUGUCCCGAGAGGAUUUGAGGACUGAGUCUUGCCUGAACAAGACCUGGGUUGUUUGCUUCUUACAGAUAGGUGCACAAAAUUUGCAAGAGACAAAUUUCUGCUGCCCCACUGGAACGGAAGGAAGUGCCCUCUCUGAAGGAGGAAUUCUCUUAAGCUACUUCUAGCUGGAAAUACAAUAUGUUCAUGAUAAAUUUUAUUUUUAAAUGGCCAUGGGGUACAGCCCAACAAAAUCAG
ensembl:lncRNA